CCCCCGUCUUAAUAUUAAUGCUUUGCUAGAGGGAAAACAACUUUAGCUUGACAAUAGCUAGGCCUCCAGUAUCCUGUGAAUCUUUUUCAGCACAGGAAAAUCUCUUUGGAAAGUUCCCUUUUGACCUUACCUCCCCAACUCUAUAGUACAUAGCUAGUCAUUCCUCACAACCCCAGUGCAGCUCUUUUUGCCCAAGGGUCCUCCUGCCCGUGAGCUUUAACAAAAUCACCUUUUUUGCACCAAAGACAUCUUCAAGAAUUCUUUCUUGGCCGUCAGCUCCGAACCCAUCAUCACCCCCAAAACGUCAUCAUAACCAUCACCGCUGCUAUUCCGCGUGGUCUGGGGAGCAGAAUCAACCGUCUCUCCCGGGAACUUGCUGGAAAUGCAGAACCUUGGUCCUACACCUUCCAGAACGGAAUCUGCAUUUCAACAGGAUCCUCCAGGGUGAUUCCUGAGCACACUUAAGUUAGAGAAGCUCUAAGGUGACUCCUGGGAUCAGCUACAUAUGAGACUCUCCUGGGUAGACCGAACCCCUGGAUGAAGGACUGCAGAGUUUCUGGGGCUGCCGCUCAGGCAUCAGGAUUUUUUCAAAGUUCCCCCAAGCCCUUGCGUGACGCGUCCCCCUUUCCAGGGAGGUCAGGCUGACUCCUGCAGGAAGGAGGGGGGAGGGGAGGGGGAGGGGGGACUGGGCUCCCGGCUCCGGAGGCUCUGCAGCUUUAAGAAGGGGAGCUGGCUGCCAGCCACGGAGGCCCCCGGGAGGCCGCCUGCCAUCUUGCACGGGCCACGUGAGCACAGGCUGCAGGCUGCGACAGUCAGCGCUGGGCCUUGCCUGGGCUUGCAGACCCGAGCCCCGCAGGCCGGCCCCAGCGGCGGUGGCGCCGGCAAGCCGAAGAAAGGGGACCUUUAUGCCUUUUGGGGGAAGCACACAUUCUGCGAGGCCGUGGAAACAAAGAGAGGAACUGUUUGUAGCCCUAGUCCAGACGUCCCAAACAAACAUUCCGUGAGGUGGAUAGUUUGGGCCCCCUUCCUGUGCUCUCUUGGAGAAAACCGACAGUAGAGAAACUAAAUGCCUUGGUCCUGCAGCAGUUGUGAAGAAAAGUUAAUAAAAGUAAGUUGUGUCCCUUAGACUGCGUGGAA
rnacentral:lncRNA from 1 species